GAUGAAGAACGUAGCGAAAUGCGAUACUUGGUGUGAAUUGCAGAAUCCCGUGAACCAUCGAGUCUUUGAACGCAAGUUGCGCCCGAAGCCACUAGGCCGAGGGCACGCCUGCCUGGGCGUCACACGCCGUUGCCCCCCCAUCUACUCCUUCGGGAUUGCGGGGGGGCGGAUGAUGGCCUCCUGUGCGCCUAGCCGCGCGGUUGGCAUAAAUACCAAGUCCUCGGCGACGCACGCCACGACAAUCGGUGGUUGCGAAACCUCGGUUGCCCGUCGUGUGCGUUCGUCGCGCAUCGAGGGCUCGAAAAAAUGCUCGGCUCCGGCUGGGCUUUCAACGCGACCCCAGGUCAGGCGGGGUUACCCGCUGAAUUUAAGGAUAUCAAUAAGCGGAGGA
rnacentral:misc_RNA from 1 species